UAUCAAUGCAAUGUAAUGAACUUGGGGCCUUGUGGACAAUCCAGGCUGCGCGUAACGCAGCUAUAAGCGCUAAAUUACGUCCGUCCAGAGAUACAAAGACAAGGUUUUCUCCUGUUCUAGGACAAAGGGUUGGAGAAUGAAUACCUGGACGACUGGGACACUGGGAAAAAUCGGUUUCUAGCCGUAAGGAGCUAAGUGCACUGGCUGCAACAAGAUGCUGUAGUGAUGCCACAAGGACUGAAGUUCACAGCCAGUCAAAUCAUUCAUUGACAUGGUAGGAGACUUGUUCAUCCUCCCUGAUGCAAGUGCUUUUCUGAGUGAGCAAAUCGGCUAGAACCCUCUCGAAGUGUUUAACUACAUUUCUAUUUGAUGCACAUAAUUAUUUUUUUUACGUGUGAUCAAACAACCAUAAUUAUAAUUAUGAAUCGAAUCAACUAUAUACACUAAGAGUAUAAGAGUGUGAGUACACAAUAUGCUAAAGUGAUAGCUAUUAAAUUGUAUUUCCCUUGUAAAUCAUCCAUUCAUAGCUACAACUUUGUUGCUCAAAGUCAGUGCAGUUACAUGAUGCUGGCACUAGCUGCUAAAUAUCUUGAAUCCUUCGUCUUCACAAACAGAGGCUUAGUGGCUUCUCUCGAUCUCAGUAGAGUGUUUCUCUGUAUUAAAAGGGACAAAUAUUAAAAUGGACAAGCAAGCUAGCUAUACAAAUGUAGACUGGUAUUUUGGACUUAUACCUUCGAUGCUCAUCACUGCUCUUUAGCUCUAGCUCUUAUCAAGGUCUCAUGUGCUGUCUGUCUGCUCUGUAAUCUGUGCUGCCAUCCCAAGGUGAUGUGAAGAAACUAUUAUUAGCUUCCGGUGCAGUGAAUUAACUUCCUGCGCAGCCUGGACUGGCCGACAAUCGCGGUCCGUUUCCAAUCCCUCUUACUACACUAUCUAUGGCUUUAUUAGGGGACUGGGCGUUUAAUCGCGAAAGGCGAGUUUUCAUUCGAACAUACGCCCACCCGCGGCCUCAAAUCGAGGUUUACACUUGCUCUAUGCCAAUCUUUAUUAUGCCUCGAGGCGUAGCCGCACGAGGGAUACAGUAAAGCUGACUGUGUGUGUGUGUGUGUCUGUCUGUCUCUGUGUGUGUGUGUAUUCCAGCUAUAACUGCUCAACGGUUGCAAUGCGACGAAAGCUAACAGCUUCUAUAGGCUUCUAGCCACGUUCUCUUGGAUUUUGAUUCGUGGAUUAGCAAACUAAAGCUUCUUUCUCGAGUUAUGGCUAGUUUGACUCACAUUGAAGGCUGUUGCAGUCUCUUCAGAAUCUUUCAUAGCAUCAUCUGUCCGCACAAACUUUCUAUUCAACAUAUGAGUUAGCCUUGCACUAAAGCGCUAGCUUUUUGUUAGCUACAAUACUCAGAAAAUAUCUGUUAAAACAGCUAGCUAGCAGUACAGUAGAGUCUAGCCAUUUUGUGAAAUUGAUCUCUUUGGACACACCCUUUAAUUAUUCCUGUGGAUGUAAUGCGCAUGCGCGCUCAUUCCCCAGUGUAAGAAAUAAUAUCCAAGAUCCAGAUCCAGAUCCUCCUGGCAGAAUCAUCUUUGUCUUGAAGGCCUGGUAAGCCACAAAACACACUACCAUAUAACAAUAAUAUUAUAGAUAACAAUAAUUAUGCAUGUACACAGGUCUUUUCUUCUUAGAUGUUAUAUAUGCUGAACUACAAAUCAAUUUUCUUCUUUCUUGAGAUCCACAUAAUACAACAAUAGAUGCAUGUAAAUAAGUCUUUUCUUCUCAGUGACUUUAUAUAGAUAAGCUAACUUUAUAUAAAAUUCAUUAUAGAAACUAAUAUAACUUUUCAGCGAAAGCAAAAGCAUGGCAAGAGGCAUUAGCACAGCGCCAGCUUGAACACUAGUUAAUUUAUUGUAUUUUCAUUGUAUGAACAUUUUAUUGACAAUAACAAUGUUAUAAACUAAUGCAUGAGUAUGAUUAAAGCAUGACAAGAGAAUGAACAUGAAGAAGUGGACUCUGACUCUAUUCGUUGAUGUUAGAUGUAGCAGAAACUUCUCAAAGGAUGGUAGGUCAUACUCCUACAGAGUAUGACCUAUCAUCUGGAUCAUUAUGCCGAUUCAGCAAAAAGCUAAAAAGAUAAAAUUAAUGACACACAAAGUAUCUACCUUAAUUAAUUUUGGCAGGCUGCUGAAUAAAAUGCAAUGUGCGCUACAAGUUCUAUACCAGACACUUCAGUUGACAUUGCCAUUAAUAAUGGGGUAAACGUCUCUGUGCUGAACAUAGGUGUACAGUUCUGUACAGAAUUCCAAGCUUUUCAAUAAUUGAAGUUGAACUGAGGCAAGGAACAUUUCAGUUUGAACAUUUAGAUGGAUCUGUACGUGUGUAUGAUGGAUUCUUGAGAUCAGACCAGAGCUUUCCAGACCCUUCUAGACCGUCUACCACCCCUUUUGCUAUCACUAUUAAAGACCAUUGUUUUGUUGAUGUUGAAGAGUUUUGUAAAGUUGUGUACGUACGACACCUAAAGGCUUUUGACAAGCUUGGUUUUCUAAUCGUAUGGGAUUGGCUACUUAAUGAUGGAAACUGUGAUGAUGAUACUGAUAGUAGUGUGUGUGACAGAAUAUCUAGUGAAGAGUUUGCAUCCCAAGAAGAAGACACUCAAGAGAGCUGUGUUCCAUUUAAAUGCAUAGGUGUCACUCGUGAUACGGAGUAUCAGAACAUUCUCCGUAAAGUUAAGGAUAUAAUUAAAAGUGCAUGGUGAGAUUGUUCCAGUGAAGAUGAAACCUGAGCCAGAGAAUAUUGUUGAUCCUGAGUGAAGCUUUCUACUUGAACCUUACCUCCUCUGCUGAGAGAGCCGUAUUGUCAACGAUGACCUGCCUAAUACUGUGAUCAUCUAUGACGAUGAAGAUUUCGAUGAGUUGCUUUUCUUCAACAAAUCUCCACAGAUUGUUGGUACGAGCCUCACUGUGGACUACACCAUAUCCGGGUGUGCUCGAGUUUUAUGUGAAGUCAGAGCAAGAACAGAUGAAUUUGAUUGCUCUCCCCCUACUGGUAGCUUCACUGGACAAUGGUACCAAGAGUCAGUCACAAGCAGGAGGUCUAUCAAUAGGCUUUUUAUAACUGUUGUGCCAUAUUGCCCCAGUCAAAUUGUUCCAAUAUUUGAAGACAGAAAGUUUCGUACAGACAUCCCACAGUGUAGUGUGGUAUUCACUGACCAGCAGUACGAGGUUGACCCUGUAUCUGGUGAUGUGACUGUGGAGUGAGCCGGAACUGGACCAACUGCUGAAGUCAAUGUCAACAAGUUCAUGUGUCAUCUGCCUGAUGGAACGUCUACAGAUUGCACCAGUCCAUUUAUGCUCCCUGGUCUAGCUCCUGGUGACCACAUAUUCACAGUAAGGCCUCAACAAGUCAGUGACUCUAGCGUGACUCAAUGUGAGAGUAGUAGGAGGGGGUUGAUAGGUCAAUCCAUUAUCAUCAGACUGUAACAACACAAUAAUCAGUCGUUAGAUUCAUAGGUAGAAAAACAACAACUAGUUUUUAAAUUUAAGAACAAAAUAGCAUUUCCUAGGCUGUUUUUUUUAUUAGCAAUGUAGAUUUAAAUUUAGUGUUAUUUUGAUAUGGUA